AUUGAACGCUGGCGGCAUGCCUUACACAUGCAAGUCGAACGGUAGAGGGGCAACCCUCGAGAGUGGCGAACGGGUGAGUAAUGCAUCGGAACGUGCCCAGUAGUGGGGGAUAGCCCGGCGAAAGCCGGAUUAAUACCGCAUACGACCUACGGGUGAAAGGGGGGGAGCGCAAGACCUCUCGCUAUUGGAGCGGCCGAUGUCAGAUUAGGUAGUUGGUGGGGUAAAGGCCUACCAAGCCGACGAUCUGUAGCUGGUCUGAGAGGACGACCAGCCACACUGGGACUGAGACACGGCCCAGACUCCUGCGGGAGGCAGCAGUGGGGAAUUUUGGACAAUGGGCGAAAGCCUGAUCCAGCCAUGCCGCGUGCGGGAAGAAGGCCUUCGGGUUGUAAACCGCUUUUGUCAGGGAAGAAAUCCUUUGGGCUAAUACCCUGGGGGGAUGACGGUACCUGAAGAAUAAGCACCGGCUAACUACGUGCCAGCAGCCGCCGUAAAAC
rnacentral:rRNA from 1 species